rnacentral:rRNA from 1 species
CCUAUGGGAGGCAGCAGUCGCGAAAACUUCACAAUGGGCGCAAGCCCGAUGAGGGAACUCCUAGUGCUAGCACUUUUUGUGUUAGCUUUUCUUCAGCGUAGAUAACUGAAGGAAUAAGGGCUGGGUAAGACGGGUGCCAGCCGCCGCGGUAAUACCUGCAGCCCAAGUGGUGGUCGAUUUUAUUGAGUCUAAAACGUUCGUAGCCGGUCUGGUAAAUCCUUGGGUAAAUCGGAAAGCUUAACUUUCCGAAUUCCGAGGAGACUGCCAGACUUGGGACCGGGAGAGGCUAGAGGUACUUCUGGGGUAGGGGUAAAAUCCUGUAAUCCUAGAAGGACCACCGGUGGCGAAGGCGUCUAGCUAGAACGGAUCCGACGGUGAGGGACGAAGCCCUGGGUCGCAAACGGGAUUAGAUACCCGCGUAGUCC